GGGAGGGAGAGAAUGUUCUGGAACUCGUGCGAUCUGGUCUCCGUUCCUCUGCCAUCUCCGAUUUCUUCUCUUCUUCCUUCACUCUUUGCCAUCGCUGAUGAGAGAGCUGAGAUGCUGUGCGUUUUCUGUUGCUGGUCCACUGUUUUCCAGCCCAUGUUUGCUUUGUUUCUUGUUCUUGACCAUAUUUCUUCCCCCACUCUUCUGUUAGUUGAUGAUGAAGCAAGUAAAUAGCUGAUUUGAGGUUGUAAGAGAACUAAUUUAGUGGGUUGGAGGUUGGAAUUGUGCUGUCUUCUUCUUCCCCUGUUCAGUCGUAGGUUCUAUUUUGUGCUUCCCUGUGCGUUUGUGAUCGGCUGCCUAAGGUGGUGAUGGAGACUCAUAUUUAGAUAAGUUUCAUAUUGUAUCUCUUCUUCCUCUAGCUGUUGGCGUGCUCAUCCUUGAAAGGGUGUUUGGAAGAGAAGAAGUUUGAUUAAAGUUGAGAAGAGAAAUUUGACUUCUGGAGAAAUUUCAGAUGGUAUAGUUGAACUCGUGACCCGAGAUAUCCACUUAGGAGUUUUAUUGCUGAAUUGAAGCAGAAGAAUUAUUUCAGUCAAAUCCUAAUUUGAUGAAAAAUUUGAACUUUAUACUUACGUUGGCGUCUGGCCUUAGGUGCUCCACAUAGACUACAGGUAGGAUCCUUAUAUUUCUUUUAAAGUUGAAUAUCUGAAUUAAUAUUGUAAUAAUUUUUAAUUACUCUAUUAGUGUGUUUAAUGUAUUAAUUUCAGAGUUUCU